CUCUUGAACUUUCCAUUGCUGAGGAUCUCGAUGGUGUCUCCAAUGUGCAUGAUGAUGGAGUUGGGAACACAUUUAGCGGUCACCCACUUGCCUUGGUAAAAGAGUUGGAGGCCAGGAACCAUGUUGUGGAGAAUGAAAGUGAGUGCACUUAUAUCGGUGUGAGCUUCGACACCGAGAGCGAGUUCUGGUUGUGGACACUUGGGGUAGUAAUUGAUUUUCAAUUGAAGAAGAAGCUCUUCCAGGCCACCAACUUCCUUCUCUAGCCU
rnacentral:lncRNA from 1 species